UAUAAAUGUAAAUUUUUACUAAAGUAGUAUUAGUUAUGAUCUUGAAAUUUAAAAAUUUUGGCGGUAUUUUAGUCUAUUCAGAGGAACCUGUUCUGUAAUUGAUAGUCCACGAUAAAUUAUACUUUAUUUAUUAGUUUAUAUAUCGUCGUUAUUAAAUAUUUUAUAAGAAUUAUAAUGUUUAAGAUUUUUUAUUAAAAAAUAUAUCAGAUCAAGGUGUGGUUUAUAUUAAAGAAGAAAUGGGUUACAAUAAAUAUAUUUAUGGAUUUUUAUAUAAAAAUAUGUAAUGAAAUUGGAUUUGACAGUAAUAAGUUUUAUAUUGGAUUUAUGAUUUUAGCUCUAAAAUGU
rnacentral:rRNA from 1 species